GCCUGGGUGGCUCAGUUGGUAAAGCGUCUGACUUUGGCUCAGGUCAUGAUCUCAAGGCUUGUGGGUUUUAACCCUGCGUCAGGCU
rnacentral:tRNA from 1 species